GGUGGCCUAGUGGUUAGAGUAUUCACCUCGGAUGCGAGAGGUCGUGGGUUCGAUUCCCGGCCGACUUAUACCA